GGUGAGGUGUCCGAGUGGCUGAAGGAGCACGCCUGGAAAGUGUGUAUACACGAAAGUGUAUCGAGGGUUCGAAUCCCUCCCUCACCG
rnacentral:tRNA from 1 species